rnacentral:lncRNA from 1 species
AAAACACCCCCCCCCCCCCCCCCAAAAAAAAAACAAAAAAAAAAAAAACAAAAAAAAAAAACAGCGUUAAGCACGUUUUCCACCCUGAGUUACACAGAGGAACAUUCCUCGUCGUGCUCCGACCACCGCGCAGCCAGUUCCAACACCGAGAUGACUCCAGUGUACGAGCUCACCAGGAAGAGGACGAGGACGACCCUCCUCACGCCCAGCCCCACACUCGCCAGCGGGGGUGCGAGCCCCGUUGUCAGCCCCGCACGCCAAUCAGGGCGGCCCGCCUGCCUUCCUGUAGGUGUGCCCGGCUCACCUGGGAGCCGCGGUGCUGAUGACAUACCUGCAGCCCCGGGGGAAGCACAGAGAUAGUCUGCUGUCGCCCAGGGCAGGGGGGCUACAGCCGGAACGGCGCCGGGGGCAGCACUGGCCCCGACCCGGCCGCCGCAGGUAGAGAUAGAAAUGUGGGCCCGGCCCCGGCAGCCGUAGCACUUUUCUACAUCGCUGCUGUGCCUCCCUCAUGGGAGUCAGGUCUUGCGCUGGUCACUGGACUGUGGACUUCAGAGGCCCUAGUGUCUCAGGGCUGCAUUUGAACUCUGGACACCUUGUUUUUCUCUCUGCUUUGCUCAUUGGUGUCUUGUGACUUUUAUGGCCUGUCAUGGAGGAACGGAAGGUGAGACACGCUUGCUGCACAUUUCCCUUCCCACCACCUGGAGCUUACCUCAGAGCCGUGGUUGCACCCUUGGUGCUCCAAGAAAGUUGCCUGACCUUUCAAGCUCCUGCAGUUCUUGCCUGGUCUGCACAGCACCCUUGUUAUCCUUAUGCUUUGUGCUUUAACUUAUUUUCAGAAGUUGGAUGGAUCAAAUCUGGCAGACAAUGCAGGGGCAGGGGAGCACCUUUGCCAAGGGAUUACUGGAUAUGGAUGCUGUUGCCUUGUCCUUGCCCCUCACUUGCUGACCAAACCACAUCCGUAACAUGCUACUGAAGUUUUGGGACAGCAUUCACUGAUGUUUUAGAAUUUCUUGGAAUCUAAAAGGCUUAUUGGAGGUAGCUUGUAUAAGGGCAAAGUCUUCUUAAAAGGUUGCAUGGGUGGGAGGUGGCUUGUUUUGGAGUGAUAAUGUAUGAGUGACCUGGGUUUCAGAAAUGCAACUGAACUGGGUGAGGAGAAGGCACUGAAAAUAUGAUUUGAAGUUGUUCUAAAUUUGAAUUAUUCUUAAGUCUCAGUUGUUAAGGUUUGGCUUCAAUGCAGAAUCUCAUUUUGCCGGCUCAUGGCUGAUGAAGUAUUUGUAGUGCUAUCCAUGCAGUAGCUUGGUGGUCUUGAUAAAUCCGUGUGGGAAGGGGGAUCAUAUGCUUUAAUCACUGCUGACAGCAUGGAACUAGAACUAAGACUGGUGCUCCUGCUGACGCCCUGUCAUCUUACUGUCUGAAACAGUGAGACCUGGGUACCUCCUCUGAGGAACUCCUCUGAGAGUUUUGCUGGUUAUAGCUUCUUCCCUGAGCCUUGUUUUAUUUCAUCGUGUUAAACUUAGGUGUUCUUGCUCUUGUUCCUUGAGCCUUCUUCUUUCCUGUGGAUCACUUUUUUUUUUUUUUUUUUCCCCAAGCACCUUCUAGAUGUAAAGAACAAAAUUUUGCUAAGGCUUUUAUUUAUUUACUUAGUUUAUAUCUUUGCUCCAACUGAAAAUUAGCCCACAUCCUUGGGGAAAAAAAAAAAAAAAAAAAGUCUCCAUGGCCAGACAGUAUGUUUACCUGAGGCCUUCUGAAUGUAAGCAGCUCUUUUUCUUCAUUUCUGCAUCCGUGGCUGCUGCAUUUGGGCUCAUUCUCAUUUGCUGUAGCCAAAGGUUUUGCCACCCUGCUAUUAUCAUCCUAUUAUAGCAUUACACUGGGUCAUGCUGAGGUGCCUGGGAGGAUUCACAAUCUUAGUGGUCCCUUGCAUGUGUGGGCAGGGCACAGUCUUGCUGAUGAGAUUAAGCUUUGUACAGUGUGACUGAAGAGGGGAGGAUGAAUGCUACUUCAUUGAUUUAUCCAAUGGUAGUUUGAGGUUUCAAAAUAUUCCCGUCUAAAAGGAAGGAUCAGCGUUACAGGAUUUCUUCAUAUUAGAAAAUGGGAUUCAGGUUGCUUCCCCGUGGCAGAUGAAAUGGGGAGUUGGAAGCAUCUCUGUGUGCUCCAGGUGACUGGUUCCAUCACCGAAGAAAUUGAUAUGCUAAAUUGAAGAGCAUACUACACAAAUCCUGCUUCCCCUAAAUAAAGUGUCCUCAAAAUAUGGUGUGUAUGGGAUGAAGGGAGGAAAUAACCAGUGGAGAUGUAUAGUCACAGAGGAAAGCUACUAAAUGGCGUGUGAAAUUUGCUUCAGUUCAGACCAGGAAGUGUGUCUGCCUGAGGGAGCAGAAGGUCAGGUACAGUUCUUUUGGAUUGCGGGAGCCCUAUGCAUGUGGCACAAGGGUUCAGUGCAGUGACCUGUUGGACAUGAUCAUUGUUUGCAGCUGCUGCAAGGUGGCUGCAAUGGCUACAUUUACAUAUUCACUUAAUGAUAGAAAUAGGUACAUAAACCACUGUUGAACUAAUGCACAAAAAGCAAUGGGAGCAGGAGUAACAAGAAGAAGAUUCUUUGCCCUCAGAUGUUGCUGAGCAGCUACAAGAAGUCAGAGGAUGCAAGCCCUGUGAAAGGUUUGAAGUGGGACAGAAGUGUGACAUGGCUCCUGCAGCAGAAGACAUUUAAAAAGUAAUCCCAAACUUCCUUUGUCUCAAACAAGAGAUUUAAGAAGAAAUUGCAUAGGAGAGACCUGACCUAUACACCUAAGUUCAAGUUUAUUUGUGAGGAGUUGGUUUUCAAGAAUGGUUUGGUGGAGAUGCUUGUUUUGUGCCUAGAGAUGCCAGGAAAUAUCUGAUGCUGAAAUAUCUGUAUGUCUUGAGCUCAUAAAAUUGUUGGAGUUGCAAAAGGGGGCUUUUCUGAAUGUGGACAGAGUGAAAAAUAGGCUGCUGACUUCUGUGAAGUUAUGGGGCAUGUACUUUCAUCAACUGGACAGUAAGAUCACUAGAAUGUAAGCAUGAUACAAGAGUAAAAAUGAUCCGGAAUGUGUUGAAACAAUUAUGAACACCACAUUGUAUGAAAAACAUAUCUGUUGUUUGUGCUAAGCAUCUACAAUACAAAAAUAAAAUACCUUAGGAACACCUUUUAUAUCAUGAAGAAUUUGGAGGCUAUAGACAAAGUGAGGGAUCUGAAUGAACAGUUAAUACUUUUUCUGUUGGUGAAGGGAUGGCUUAAAUAAGACUUUACCUAUAGUUGCAGUCUGUUACAGAGUUUAAAACAGAGCUUUGCAUGUUGAUUGCACUGAGUGGGCACUGGCUUACUAAUCCUGAGGGCACAUCUGUGAGGUAGGAGAGGUUGUGGUUCGCUCAGCUGGGCAGGAGCUGUUAAUCGAAGAGCCAGAUCUAAAAGGGUCCUUUCCAACUCUAACAAUUCUAUAAUUCUGUAUGAAAUCAAAGUAGGAGAUGUGUUGCUGAUUCUACUUUCUUCUUUCACUAUUUUUUUUUCUACCUGCUGCUAUGAACAGUUCACACAGGCUUGCCAUGCUUUCUGCUCAGCUGGCAAUAUUUGCAUCCUCAGCAAAGUAACGGAUGAUUCCAUUUUGCCUGCUUUUGGUACUGGUGGCUGGCCAUUCCUAGCUUCAAUGCAAGAAAAAUCAGAAUAGGAAAAGGAAGCCAGAAAUCACACAUGUAAAGCAAAAACCCUCCUGAAGCCCUGGUAUGAACAGUGACACCUGUCUGGAUUGCACUGCAAAAGCUGCAGCUGUGACUGCUCCUGGGAAAAUCUCUUUAGCUACCACGGGGCCUAGAGCCACUGGAGAAGGGUAAAGGUUAAGCCCUUCUUAGGCAAUUAAUCAUCCUUUUCUGGAUGACAGAGGUGACAUUUCUUAGUAGCUACUGGAGCGAGGUUGGAGCUCUAGCCCACUACCAGCUGCUAGUUGCUUGUAAAAACAGAGUGGGAAGAAGCAUCAACUGUGUAGAGAACAGUCCAAAGAUUUGUGCAACAACCCAAAAUACACAUGGUCCAGAAUUGAUUUCUCUAGCCAGGCUUCACCCCUUCCGGUCACACAGGUGAAUUGCCUUCACCUGUUCUCCCAGGGCUGACCUGGUCCCUUCUGCAGGUGAUCAAUCGGUGGUUCAGUCCGUGACUCAACAGUUCCCAUACAUUACCUAGCAGAGGUUUGGUAAUGUUAUGGUAGUUUGUAUUUCUCUGUAUAGUAUGGACAGAGGAACAUCUAUUAUUGGCAAGGGACUGCCAGCAAGCUGCUCAGGGAGGAUAUUGCCCUAAUCAAAUGUGCCACUAGCAGUAGCUGGUAGGAUGGCCAAGUUUAUUGGAGUUACUGACUGUGGUGGUGAGAAGCCAGACUGUACUCAGCACCUGGUUAUAUGCUUAAUAUUACAUACUGAUGUAGCAUCUCAAGAACACCUCCAUUACACCUUUCUGUCUCUUUUGGUAUUGGAAUUGAAAUACAGUAACGGACUUAACGGACUCGGAUGUAUGGGGAAGGUCUGCAUGCCUCAGUACAGCCUAUAUGUUGAGAAUAUUCUGCUCUACAGUGUGGCCCAAAAGAACCAUGUGAUCUGUCUGUUUGUUUUUUUCCAGUAUUUGAGGUCUCCUAUGCCACCAUAAUCUCAGAUAGCAGAGAGAUGCCUGUGCAAUCUUGCUAUGAAAUUUCAGAGGGAAUAAGAGUGCCCCAGAGAACCCAGACAGGACCAGUGCUUCUCUGCAGGACACUGAAGGUUGCUGGGUGGGAGGUAAUAGGAGAAAGGCCACUAGCAGGACAGAGGUGUAAUGGGUAACAACACAAUAGAGCUGGAAGACGUUGCUAGGUUUUACAUGAUCAGGAACUGCAAGACAAUUUCUUGUUUGCUGUCUAUGGUGUGACUUUACGUAGCUUCUAGCUUCCAGUGAAGCAACUUUCACAACCUGCCCAUUUCUGGGCCAUGUUUACUCAGAGAAAAUUUUUGAAAUACAGAAGCUUCUUUUUGUUCCCCCUUUUUUUUUCUGCUCUGAAAAAUAAACUGAUUAGAUCCUGUAUUUGUUCUUCUAGCAGAGCAGUUGCUGCCAUCCUUAACAACAGCUUCUCAUCCACUGAAACCAUGUUAUCACAUCCCAUUCUGCUUCCAGACUAAAAAAAUCCUGCUCCCCACUCUGUCCUGGGCCUGUUUCCCACAUGCUUUGUCACUGCCAAUGUUCUCCCUUUCAUUUUCAGUCAGCAGCUUUCAGUCUGUGUUCAAGUUACCCAGCUGCACAGCUGGCUCUGGGCAGUCCUUGCUUCAGCUGUGUACAUAACUGCUUCCUUACAGCCUAAGCCAAGAUGUCAAAAGAACACAGCUAAUUCACUGUUGCUAAUAUUGCCAUUAAUAUUUAUUAUAAAAGUAGCACCUUCUGUUGUCAGUUAUUAGUUUCAGGCUACUGCUGAAAGAAAUGAGGCUUGUUGGCAUUCCCUCUUCCCCUAAGCCAUCUUCACAUCCCUCCCACCUUCCCAGCAGACUCAGAUUUGGUUAGGUGUCCCUAACCAAAUAUUUUGACCUGUUCCCUGGACAAGACAAUACAAAAGCUGCCAAACAAUGGAUGAGGACCAGCCUCUGCCUGCUGAUCCUUCUCUAGAGUGACAGCAAGAGCUCCCUGCUGUACUCAGCUAUAGAAACAUUCUCAAUUUUGAUUCCUCUAUGUCACAUUUUUUAAUGAGCUAGUUCGUUCCUGAGUGAGUAAUGGGGGACUGGCAGUGCAAGAAGUAGCCCUAUUUUCUCAAGAAACUACAGAAAAGAAACAACAAGCCUGACAAAAAGACGUAAUUAAAUUGAUCCUUGAAUUUCAGAACAUAUAUUUUAGUAAAGAUCAAACAGUGCUUUGAAAUUCUCUUCUGAUUUUGAAACAUCUGGCUCAUUCUGGUUAUAUCAAAGUAGAAAGAAAAUCAAGGAGAAAUACCAUUUUGGUUAAGGCAAAAGCAGAGAAGAAGCAAAGUAGAGUGAGCCUGUAUUUAUAGAGAAGAAAAACACCUCUUUUUCCACUGCUUUUAACACCGGAGGGGAGGGCUAGGAUGGGAUAGCUCUGCCCCUUCCUGCGGCAGGUCUCACUGAAUGUUUUUUUUAAAGCUAGAAGAAGGCAGCCAAAGGAACAAGGGAGAGCUUUUGCUCCCCUUCUGUCAUGGGUCUAAUGUGAAGCAAUUCCUGCAGAAACUAGACUGUGUUUGAGGCAGUUCAGGUGAAGAUUAGGGCUGAGUUUCAUCUGUCCCAUCUUUAUAUCCACAAAAUAGGUGCCUCCAUCUGAAUUAUGGCUAGACUGGAGAGGCACUGGAGAGACACGGGCAUUGUUAGGCAGCAGUUUGCUCACCUGUCUCAGAUGUCUGCCUUUGGAGUGGUAAGCUCAUGCCCUAGAAAUGCUUCUCUAAUAAAUAUUAAACUGGGGGACUUUUCUUGUUUCAUUGAAUGAUUUGUUCUCAAUUUGUUAUACAAAAGACUUCUUGCUUUUAAACAGCAUUUUUCUAUUCUUGUGUGUUUUCAUUUUUAAUAAAGAAUUAAUCCUUGCUCAAAAUGAGGAUGUUCUGGUGUUCUCUGAGAGCAAAUUUUGAGAAUUUGUGAGGACUUCUAUUUUUGAAGUUAUGGGAUGCUAGGCAAGCCAUCCUGGUCUCUUCAGCAGUUCAAACACUAGUCUUGGGGAAAAUAAGCAAAAACCAGGCUAUACCUCCAACCUUUGCUGGAGUUACACAUGAGGUCUUUGACCAGCAGACACAGCAUAGAUGUGCUGCAAACAUGGUGCUAAAUAUGUUCUUCACAAAUAUUUACAGUUAAAUUCAUUGUAAGAAUGAAUCAAUAUUUAAUCUGAAGUAGCGUUAUGAAAUGACAAAUUAUAUCUCAGUCACUGUGAUGACAUGCGUCAUCCAGGGCUAUGUAGCUUUUUUAGCUACAUAGCUAAACAUUUCCUCAUGUGUAUGCCGUUUCUCAUAUGUUUUCUUGCUUAUGUAGAAAACCUCUAUUUGUAAUAAUUGAAAAAAAAUAAAAUAAGGGCUUUUAGAAUUUCUUAAAUGAAAUUAUAAAUGUCUCAAUGUAAAUAUACAUGUUUAGUUAUUGUACAUAUUACUAUAAAUGGAAAUAUACAUAUGUAUCAUUAGAAAACAAGGUAACAGUCAAAUAUUUUAUCCCUAUAGCAAGAAGUCAUACUCUGAGCUGUGUUUCAGAGUGGCUGGUCUUACAGAAGUGUUAUGUGCCUUUAAAGUGGAAGCUCUUGCUUGUCAGUUUCCUGACAUUCAGAGAUGUCCCACAAAAAACUGGGACUAGUGGGAAAAGAGGCUGUGAAGUUUGUGUUACUGUGGGAUGGGAUGCUACAGAAUGAAGUGAAUCCUUAAUAUUUUAUUAUGUUGAUCCACAACGUGAGAAGUGAAUGGUGGUGGUAUGGUAGUAGACAGUGAACCUUCCUACCCAUAUUCCGUAACAUUUUGUUUCUGUGCAUCAGAAGGGCAGUAUGACAAAAUGGCUUCUGAUACAAAGUGAGUAUGAAGCAUAGGUAUGAAACUGAAUUCCCCCGAUAUAAAAAAAAUUGCACCCACUGACGUUCAUUGACACUUGUUGAACAUUUAUGGAGACCAAACAGUGGAUGUCGGCACAUCAAGGCAGGGAGUGGUAUAUUUCAGCAAUGGCAACAGUGAUAUUAGGUCACCUCUGCUGGUGCAGAUUUUUUUUAAUUUUUUUUUUAAAACAAGCUCAGCAUGCAGACUCUUGUUCAUUGCUGGCAAAAACUUUUAGCUAAUGGUGGUGACUGUUGAAAAACUGUGUUUUGUAACUACUCUAUCAAGUAGCAUUAUUGUGCUAUUUAUCUGUUGUCAUUUCCAUAGAGAUAUAUAGAAACUUUUGGAACAACUUAUGUAGAUACAGACUACUACUAAUAUAUAGCUAUGGUCUCCAGAAGACCAACUGCAGGGUCAAGGAAGCAACAGCAUAGAGCCACAGUGUCACAGCCCAGUAAGGGCUUCUCUUCAUCUGUCCCAGCUGGACCCAAUUUCUGGAUGUAUUCCAGAGGAACACAUCUUCUGCUCAGCUCUGAAAAACCAAACAGCUGCUGCUGUGUCCGCACUAGCCCAUGCAAUUGCAGCAGCAACAUGAUCCUCACCUAAUCACAAACUUGGAGGGGAAAACCCAUAGUUAUUCAUUCUCUCUAAGCCAUAUCUGGGUUUCUUCUGGCUUUUCUCAUGAUUCAUGGUUCACACCUACUGGGAUGAAUAUUUAUAUACAUAUUAUUUCCUCUCCCCCACUCCUACCUAUGACUCUGCACUUCACUGCAGCUCUGCCCAGGGAUACCCCUGCUGGAAACUGGCUGACUCAGCACUGAGAGCCAUGAUGGGGUAGCAACAGCACUUCAGAGCCUGAGGAAUGUCAAGAUCUUCUCAGGUUACAUCCUCAGGAAUUCACCUGCUCUUCCCAUGCAUUAGUUGCAUGCUGAAAUGGAAGGUGCAGUUAAAAUCCACUGUUGUAUUAAUGUUAGCAGCUACCUUACAUAUUACCCCAAUGAAAGCAGAUGCCUGAGGUGUAUGGGCAGGACAUGACUGCCUAAAGCCAAGCCCUGAAUAUGCUCACAGUAACCUCUGUGCUGAGAUGAAACAUCGCUGUCAACUCUGCUAGGCAGCUUCUUAGGUUUCAGGGGUACAGAACAAGUACCAUCAUAUUCUGCCUUUUUCUUUAACCUUUCUAAGAAUAUGAGGUCCAGUAUUAAAUGUGGAGGUUGGCAGCCCUGCCUGUGGCAGGGGAGCUGGAUGUUGAUGAUUCUUCUGAUCCCUUCCAACCCAAAACAUUCUAUGAUUCUGUAAAAUCACGUUUAGUGAUUUUUAAUGUUUACUUCUUUAGACAUCUUCUGUUCAACCCCACUGUGUCCCCAUUGCUGUUGCUAUUUCCCUUCUUGUGAUAAUUGGCUCUUUUUUGAUAGAGUAGUUCAUGUUUUCCUUUUCAAGCCUAAAGUCACAUUAAGGUUUGAUCCUGCAGAUGCCUGAAAUCUCUCUAAUGCAUAAUAUAAAGUGUUUUGCAUGGUAUUUCUGUCUGAAGGCAUAAAGAGAAAUGGAAGGUCAGCUGCUUAAGAAAUCAGGCAAGUAAAUAGCCCAGGAGAGAUAUCACCUUAAACACACAAGCCAGGCGCAGAGCUGUGGGAGGCAACUCUCAGUUCCUGUCCUAGCAUCACAGUUACUAGAAACAGUAUCAAAACAACCAUACAUUAAAGUAGGUCAUAUUAGUCUCAAACAAAUGUUUACUGGACCUCAACCUAGGGUUGUUCUGCUACUGUUGUCAUCAAAAAUUCAGGAAGAAAACACAAACUGUUGAAACUGCUGUUAGAAAGCAGCAUUCCCUUAUUCUCCUAAUACAUACCAGGCAACUCAAUAAAUCAAGAGCAUGCUCUCAGUGUGCAGGUUCUAUGUUUAAACAGCUUAGACAUACUUACAUGACACAUCAGUAUACAAAUUAAUUAUUUUAUAAGAAUUUGCAUUAAUAUAUGCAAAUGUCCUUCUGGGUGUGCGUGGUCACACCUAUUGUGGUCAUAUGACUAUGCACUUCCUUCCCUUUAUUUUCUUCUUUCUCUUCAUCACAGUGCCCUUUGGCUGAUCUCUAGCUAUUUUUCCAUGAUUUGGCAGACUUUCAUUGCUUGUCGUGCCAUAAUGAGCAGCUUUCUAUCCUAGUAGAUUGACUCAAAACAAUUUAAGUAAAACCCAAGAAAAAGUCCUUGCACCUGAUGGAUACAAAGAUAAAGAGUAGUCUGUUGUGGCUUCAGUGAAGCAUGGAUUAUUCAAAAAAAAAAAAAAAAAAAAAAGGCUGUUUAGAUACUAAGCAAAAAUAUACUGGAAAAUUUUAGAACUAGUACACAUUAAUUUCUGGUCCCUAAACCAGUAUCCUAGUUCCUAUUGCUAAACCAGUCUGUAUCAGAACCAAAACACAUAGCAUCAUACCAGGCACUCUGAAGAAACCCAUUCCAUUCAAACUAAAACUAAGACACUUUACUGUUGUGCUUGAUUACUGUUAAGACCUUUGGCAACAUGUUUGUUGUGCUCCAAUAAACUAUGUCAUGUAACAGGAAUCAAAUAUUUUUAAGUUACAGGCUUUAAAAUUAGUACUAUCUUUUCUUAUCUCUUUUUAAAAGGUUAAAUGGGAAAAGGAAUCACUCUGAUAUGAGUUGCAGUGAUACUAUUAAGCUUGCUAAGUUUCACUGUUGGGUAGCCCUGUGUCCUUACACUGAGCAGAUAAGGUGAGUUCUGUCAAGUCUUUGUAUUAGGUUAAUAAAGGAAGCUCUGCUCUGAAACAUCUAAUUUUGUGCAAGCAAAUAUUGUGCAGUCAAGGUAUUCUGCUCACAAAAAAGCAAAAUUGCUUGUGACAGGAUCUUGGCAAUAAAAGAAGUAAUUUCAAGUAUGCCAAUAGUCAUAAACAAAAAGAAGAGUUGAACUUACCCAACCAUUGAGGGACUAUACAGCACUCCUUCUCUGGAAACAUCCUAGAUCUAUGAGGUGGUCUCCUUUCAGUGGCUGGCCUUUAUAUGAGCCUAGGGUGGCUCUAUGCUGGGUCUGUGCCUUCUGGUCACAUGGGGAGCAAAGGUGCAAAUAGUUUGCUUGUGCUCCUGUCAAUGGUUUCUGGGCCUGUUAGACCCAGUUCCAUGACAGAUGGGGCAGGGGGACCCAAAGACCCAUG